CCCUCACUUGCCAAAGCUGGCAUCUUCCCCGCUUGCACAGGUCCCACACUGGAGCAUUCCCAACCUAUCCCUCGUGCUUCACCAACCACUUUAAAAAUAGACAACAACUUCACUAGUAUAGCUAAGUUACAUCAAAGAAAGAAUUGGUGUACUGAAUGUGAAGAAGCUGGCCAAUUCCCCAGGCUCACAGAUUUUUGUCUUUUGCUUUUGAGGAAACCCCUAUACAUAAAGGAAAAUAGUAUCUGA